GGACUGGCUGUUUGCUAUCUGGACGUAAAGAGAGGAGGAGGGAAGGUCAUCGUGGAGAAGGCCCCUCAGGCUCGUAUCGACAAGAAGUAUUUGGUUCCUUUGCCAGUCGGUCAAUUCUACUUCCUCAUGCGCAAGAGAAUUCCCCUGAGACCCGAGGAUACCCUCAUCUUCUUCGUCAACAAUGUGAUUCCUCCCACCAGCGCCACCAUGGGAUCGCUCUACCAGGGAAGGAACCGAGAUGAGACCAGACGCAGCCCUCCAGUGAGCACAGGAGACCACCGAGGGACACCCACGCACCUCAUGGCAUGGGGGAGGACGGAUGGAGAUGGUGGGGAGGGAGACAGAGACGAGACCACUGAGCCGAAGGAACCAGUCAGGCCUUCAAGAUGCUGCCUGGAUGCUGGGGGAGACCAGACGAGACGAGUCCUGUUGGGGAGAAGAUGGAGGGAGAUUAAUUGAAGGGCAGAGAUGAGAGAGAGAUGGAACUAACUCUCUCUCCCUGUAUUUUUAUAAAGAGAAAGCUAAUAAAGUUUGGAAAUAUAUAUUACAAUGGAUAUAUUUAAACCUACUCUUCUUCUUCUUCCCUGUCUCUUUCCUCUGUCCACCAGUGAGCUAUUGUAUUCUUCCCUUCCCUUCCCUUCCCUUCUCUUCCCCUCCCCUCCCCUCCCAAGAUGCCGCCUGGAUGUUGGGGGAAGAGAGAGAGAGGGAGAGAGGAUGAGAUGGAACACACACACUCUCUCUUCUUUUCAAUGGACCUUAUACACUUUUACGCUACUUUUUUGUGUGAGAGAGAGAGAGAGAGAGAGAGAGAGAGAGAGAGAGAGAGAGAGAGAGAGAGAGAGAGAGAGAGAGAGAGAGAGAGAGAGAGAGAGAGAGAGAGAGAGAGAGAGAGAGUGUUCCAGCUUCCAGUCCCUUGCUGAGCUGAGUGACCAGACAGCACCAGCCAGUCAGCCAUAGCCCUGAAAAGAUUUAUGAUGGUUAGGUCCCGGUAGAUUGUGGUGGAAUGGUAGAAAUCGUGGUUGAAUGUCAGGUCUUGGGUUGAAAUUUUGGGGUUACAGAGUUGAAAAAGUUUUGAACAAGUUGAGUUUUUGGGUUGAGCUUGUGAUGACUGAUGGUUGAAUUGUGGACAAAACUGGCAGAGGGAUGUUGGGCGAAUAUUGUGUAGUGGUUAGACCCUGGUAGAUUGUGGUAGACUGGUAGAAAUCAUGGUUGAAAGAGAUAAUAGUAACUUACCAAAUAUCAGCAACUUCCUGUCCCAACUUCCAUCAGUUGCACGAUCAGUAAUAAUAAUAAUGAUAAUAAUAAUAAUAAUAAUAAUAAUAAUAAUAAUAAUAAUAAUAAUAAUAAUAAUAAUAAUAAAAGUAUAUAAAAUUAACCUGUAUUUUCUCAUUCCUGAGAGAGAGAGAGAGAGAGAGAGAGAGAGAGAGAGAGAGAGAGAGAGAGAGAGAGAGAGAGAGAGAGAGAGAGAGAGAGAGAGAGAGAGAGAGAGAGAGAGAGAGAGAGAGAGAGAGAGAGAGAGUGAGUUACCUCCACAUCUGAAAAGGAAAAAUCUAUAAUCUUCCUUCCUCUUCCUCUUCACACACACACACACACAAAAAAAAAAAUGUUACACCCCAAAGUUAUGACCGCAGCAGCAGCAGCAGUCAGAGGCUGAAUUAUAGUCACAAGUUAAAGUGUGCGUCGUGCCAAGUCCCUGCUGGUGAGCCUGGUUCAGACCCUCACACCAAGCACCUCCCAGGGCCAAAACGGAGGUGGGUUGAGUUCUAAUGUGUGUUUCCUUAGGUUCACGGUACAGAGGAAGGGUCACACACCUAACCCGGGAAAUGCCCACAACUCCUAGGAAAGCCUGGUCAAAUGUGUGUUUCUUUAGGUUCACAGUACAGAGGAAGGGUCACACUACCACCAGGGUCACACACCUAAUCCGGGAUAUGCCCACAACUCCUAGGAAAGCCUGGUCAAAUGUGUGUUCCCUUAGGUUCAUGGUACAGAGGAAAGGUCAAACUACCACCAGGGUCACACAACUACCCUGGGAAAUGCCCACAACUCCUAGGGAAAGCCUUGCCAAAUGUGUGUUCCCUUAGGUUCAUGGUACAGAGGAAGGGUCAAACUACCACCAAGGUCACACAACUACCCUGGGAAAUGCCCACAAAUCCUAGGGAGCGCCUUGCCAAAUAUGUGUUUCUUUAGGUUCACGGUACAGAGGAAGGGUCACACUAUCACCAGGGUCACACAACUACCCUGGGAAAUGCCCACAAAUCCUAGGGAAAGCCUGUUCAAAUGUGUUUUUCCUUAGGUUCACGGUACAGAGGAAGAGUCACACUACCACCAGGGUCACACAACUACCCUGGGAAAUGCCCACAACUCCUAGGAAAGCCUGGUCAAAUGUGAGUUUCCUUAGGUUCACGGUACAGAGGAAGGGUCACACUACCACCAGGGUCACACAACUACUCUGGGAAAUGCCCACAACUCCUAGGAAAGCCUGGUCAUGUGUGUGCUUCCUUAGGUUCACGGUACAGAGGAAGGGUCACACUACCACCAGGGUAACAAAACUACCCCUGGAAAUGCCCACAACUCCUAGGAAAGCCUUGUCAAAUGUGUGUUUUCUUAAGUUCACAGUACAGAGAAAGGGUCACAAAACUACCCUUGGAAAUGCCCACAACUCCUAGGAAAGCCUGGUCAUAUGUGUGUUUCUUUAGGUUCACAGUACAGAGGAAGGGUCACAAAACUACCCCUGGAAAUGCCCACAACUCUUAGGAAAGCCUUGUCAAAUGUGUGUUUUCUUAGGUUCACAGUACAGAGGAAUGGUCACAAAACUACCCCUGGAAAUGCCCAUAACUCCUAGGAAAGCCUGGUCAUAUGUGUGUUUCUUUAGGUUCACAGUACAGAGGAAGGGUCACAAAACUACCUCUGGAAAUGCCCACAAUUCCUAGGAAAGCCUGGUCAUAUGUGUGUUUCUUUAGGUUCACAGUACACAGGAAGGGUCACAAAACUACCCCUGGAAAUGCCCAUAACUCCUAGGAAAGCCUGGUCAUAUGUGUGUUUCUUUAGCUUCACAGUACAGAGGAAGGGUCACAAACUACCCCUGGAAAUGCCCACAACUCCUAGGAAAGCCUGGUCAUAUGUGUGUUUCUUUACGUUCAGAGUACAGAGGAAGGGUCACAAAACUACCCCUGGAAAUGCCCACAACUCCUAGGAAAGCCUUGUCAAAUGUGUGUUUUCUUAGGUUCACAGUACAGAGGAAGGGUCACAAAACUACCCUUGGAAAUGCCCACAACUCCUAGGAAAGCCUGGUCAUGUGUGUUUCUUUAGCUUCACAGUACAGAGGAAGGGUCACAAAACUACCCCUGAAAACGCCCACAACUUCUAGGAAAGCCUUGUCAAAUGUGUGUUUUCUUAGGUUCACAGUACAGAGGAAGGGUCACAAAACUACCCCUGGAAAUGCCCAUAACUCCUAGGAGAGCCUGGUCAUAUGUGUGUUUCUUUAGGUUCACAGUACAGAGGAAGGGUCACAAAACUAUCCCUGGAAAUGCCCACAACUCCUAGGAAAGCCUGGUCAUAUGUGUGUUUCUUUAGGUUCACAGUACAGAGGAAGGGUCACAAAACUACCCCUGGAAAUGCCCACAACUUCUAGGAAAGCCUGGUCAAAUGUGUGUUUUCUUAGGUUCACAGUACAGAGGAAGGGUCACAAAACUACCCCUGGAAAUGCCCACAACUUCUAGGAAAGCCUGGUCAAAUGUGUGUUUUCUUAGGUUCACAGUACAGAGGAAGGGUCACAAAGCUACCCCUGGAAAUGCCCACAACUCCUAGAAAAGCCUGGUCAAAUGUGUGUGGCGGUCGAAAUGUGGGCCGAGAGAGAGAGAGAGAGAGAGAGAGAGAGAGAGAGAGAGAGAGAGAGAGAGAGAGAGAGAGAGAGAGAGAGAGAGAGAGAGAGAGAGAGAGAGAGAGAGA